AUACGUAGGGGGCAAGCGUUAUCCGGAUUUACUGGGUGUAAAGGGAGCGCAGACGGCUAUGUAAGUCUGAAGUGAAAGCCCGCGGCUCAACCGCGGGACUGCUUUGGAAACUAUGUAGCUUGAGUGUCGGAGAGGUAAGCGGAAUUCCAAGUGUAGCGGUGAAAUGCGUAGAUAUUUGGAAGAACACCGGUGGCGAAGGCAGCUUACUGGACGAUAACUGACGUUGAGGCUCGAAGGCGUGGGGAGCAAACAGGAUUAGAUACCCUGGUAGUCCACGCGGUAAACGAUGAAUACUAGGUGUCGGUGCCCAAAGGGUAUCGGUGCCGUCGCAAACGCAGUAAGUAUUCCACCUGGGGAGUACGUUCGCAAGAAUGAAACUCAAAGGAAUUGACGGGG
rnacentral:rRNA from 1 species